GGAGAAUAACUGAAUGCUGAGGACAGUUCUCGGGCUGUACUGCCCUGUUAUGCCUGAUCCAUUGCUUUCUCUGGUUUCCAGAAACUGGUAGAAAGAAGCUGCCUCGUGUGAAGCUUUUUCAGGCCUUCUUGGCUGAAAUCAAAGUUACAAAUUUGGAACAUGUAGUCAGGACAGAAGAUGGUCAGAAUUCUCAUGCAGAGAAGCCUUCACGACCUUGCAGGUAAUUGCAAAGUACACCUGCAAGCAGCAUAUCAGAGUGACUAGAAAAACCUGGGCACACAUAGGCCAGGAUAUGCAGCCAUUUGGU